UAUGCAUAUGUAUCUUCAUAUUUACAUUUGUCUAAACCCAUAGAAUGUACAACACCAAGAACAAACUGUAAUGUAAACUACAGACUUUGAGUGAUUAUGAUGUGUCAAUGGGGGUUCAUCAAUUGCAACAAUAUGUACUACUCUGGUGAAGGAUGUUGAUAAUAAGGGAAGCUAUGCAUGUACAGGGGCAUGGAGUGUGGGAAAUCUACGUUCUUUUCCUGAAUUUUGCUAUCAACUUAAAAAUACUCUAAAUAAAUAAGUAAACAAAAAGAGUAGGUUCUUGAUAACUAUUAAUAUUUCCUCCAAACCUGGCUCAGCAGUAUGUAUCAUUAUGAAGAUGGCUUUGUUUUGAUCUUCCUAAGUGUGCAGAACUUUACAUUAUUUUCAAAGGCAAUUUAAUAAAGAUAUUGGUGCCAGGGCAUUUAAACAAGUAAUUUUUAAAAAUUCUAUGAGUCUAAGUAAAGCUAGAGAUUCUGUCACAUUCAUAAUAUGUUAUGAGCUAUCAUAAAUAUUAUGAAAUGUCAAUCUCAAGAAAUUCUAUUUCUUUUCCAGAAAUUUCCAGAGCUCACUUGGAAAAAUAAUUUUUUUCUAGAUAUGAAGCUCCAGAUAUUAAAUGAAGAAAUCUAAUCAGUCACUUAAGUGAUAGAAGAGAAAAGGAGAAACAGGACCUGAAGGAUAUUCUAAGGAUAAAGGAGCAAGGGUUUUCCAUUUUUUCUCAAAAGAGAAAGACAAGGUAUUAUAAAAUAUCUAGGAACAAUGAGACCCAUUUAGGAAUUUUUUUUAAUCACUCAUAUUUGAAUUUACAAGAACAGAGUUCCCAUGAGUCAUAAAAAAUGAGUGUAAUACUGUGUGGAAUCCUGAUUUGUCUAUGGAUUUAAGUGAAUUCCUGAUGUUUCACAUAAUCAAAUGUGGUUUGUACUACGUGACAUAAAAAGCUCUAGAAUCCCCAUUUUUCUGAGAACUUAAUGACUGUUGAAUCCUCAAAGCUGAGAAGAUGCAGGCUACACAAAUCUUGAAAUCACCAGCUUCACCAGACCAUGUUCAGGAAGCCAUUUCUCAUAGCUGGAAGCCAGCCAGCCAUCCUGGGCUAUGGAAAACUUGACGACAUUUGCAGUGAGAUUUAAGCAACUUGUGUAACAGUGGAACAUGGGACACAUGUCAGUAUGCUCAAGACUUACUGUCCCCAAGCACCAUUUAGUUGACUUUUUACACUAAUUAUCUCACUCUGAGAGAAAAUGGAAAUGUGGGAAAAGGGCAUGAAAAAACAAGAGAAAAACCAAACAGAACAGUGAACAGAAAGCCCCAGAAUCAGACUUGUCUUCAUCUUUUUACCUGGGCCAACUGACUGAAAGUUGACAUUUCUCAAGGAAAAGUAAAGACAACUAUGUCUGAAUAUCAUAAAUAUUUGGACAAGCAUUAAAUAUGGCAGCAUUAAUAAUGAUUAUACGUAGGUCCUGUUUUGCAGGUGGAAAAAUUGAGACAAAAAUGUUAAGUAAUGUGGCUUUCAUAGUACCUAAAAAAAAAAAAAAAAAGAAAAAAUGAGAACUCUAAGAUGAGGGAAUUCACUUCUCUGAAUUAGGAGGACAAAUAAAUAAGUUUAUACUUAGCAAAAAUACAAAAUACAGCCCAGAUAAAAAGCAAAUAGCCUUUAGAUAACUAUAGAAUCAAAACUGUUAAUAGUUGUUUCCAAAUUCUGUGACUUAUUAAUUCUUAGUCUACCUUGUUUGGUAGGACAUCUCAGCAAUGCAUUUGUGGGCAUUUAUCUCCACAUUCCUCCUGAAUGAAGGCCAGAGGCAGAUGAGAGGAAUCAGAAAGCAGGAGAAAACGUAAAAUGAAAGCUUGAAGCCUAAGCACAGGAAAAGAGAACAGUGUGUGGGAGAACACAGAGACAGUGCUGUGGACAAACAUCAGAAUCGGAUGGUCCGAGUUCUGCCCUUUGAACAUGACAGGAGGAGUCAUGCGUGUAGAUGAGGAAAGUUCCAUUUUGGGACAACGUGAGUAAACAAGCCAUUUAGAUAAACUCCCCUACAUUCCCUUGUACUUACUCCUCUCCCUUUGCCUUAGGGUAAGAACAGCCCCUUCAGCUCAUUCUCCCCCGAGGAUAUGCAAAAACUUCCCAGCCUUCCAAGUAGUUCUGCAUCUUUUCUAUCAUUUUUCCUAUCACCCUGACCGAUUUCCUACAAAUAUGGGACCAAGAAUCUAUUGCUUCAGCCACACCCAGCAAGGGUGUGAGAUGUGACCAAUUUUACAUCAUUUUGGCAACAGCAGAAACCAGUCAUUAUGGUAAUAAAGAAAUUCGUUUUUCAGAUUCCAUUUCACCUAAUUUGAACAAACUUAAUAUUUUCUGCCUGUUCAUAGUCAAGGCUGUAUUUUUUCCCCUCAAAUAAUAUGGAUGCAAAGCCUUUUGAAAAUGUUUAGUUGUCAUUAAUUUUUUUUAAUGUUCAAAUGCUUCAAAUGUUCAAAGCUGAGUUAGAUAGAUAGGGUUCUUUCAAGUGCACUUUGAAAGUGGAAAUUAAUAUCAAGUAGCUCAAUUUUAUGAUAAAUAGAAAUAUAUAAAUGUCAUUGAUAAUAGCUCUAAUGCACAAUCUUGUGUUAAUUUUUAAUUUUAUUAUAAAAUUAAGUGCACUUUUAUAUUCUUCAUCUAAUAUCUCAUUACAU